GGGUGGCAGCAUGGCCUGGGGGUCCUGGCACCGCUGCUCCUCUGCCCACCCUAACUUCCCGGCAUGGCGGCUGCCCCCUCUGAGCGUCCCCAACCCUCACCUGAGCCUCCCCACAAGCCAGGGAGAGGGGCUGCCCAAUGGCGGGAGGCCCCCAUGGAUCCCAAACGGCAGUUGCCCGCACUCCUACCCAGGAACUUUGUCUGUGAUGAACAGUAAGGAAUAAGGAAGCGGAACUGCAGGGGAUAUGAAGCAAGCUGGACUUGGGGAGACAUCUCUGCUCGAGUGCACGUUGGCCUGAUGACGACUGCUCUUGGGUUCACGGGUUCCAGGCUCUGCCCGGGAGCCUCAUGCAAACUGGUCCCGUUCUACAGACGAGGAAACUGAGGCACAGAGUGAUUACGGCUGUCCCUGAGCUCCUGCAGCCAGUAAGUGUCUCUGAGGAUGAACUGCCAUGUGCCCGGCGGGGAUGCCGUCCCUGGCCCUUGCUGAGUGCCUCUGGGACGAGGUCAGCUGAGCCUGCCAUCCUAACUCAGACACCAUCUCACUCUCCAAGUCCCUUCUCGGCCCAGCAAAUUCUCACCUCCAGAGGCCAGGUCUGCCCCGCAGGUCUUAGGAAAUACAGCCCUACUUCCAUCCAGCACACCAACCCAAGGAAGUGCCUCGGAGCCCUGGGGCCCGAGGGGGGCCUGGCCUUGGUCUCACGGCGGCAGCUCCACCUGGAGAGGAGUGAACUCAAGCCAGGACGCCCCGUCUCCACAGCGGAAACCGUGUUGCCGGCUGCUCCCUCCUGGGGACUCUGGGCCUGAGGUUCCUGUGGGAGUUGGGGGGAUAGCUGAGUCCUAUGGAGGUGCCCCUCUCCUCCCCGCCCAGUGGAGCUUGGGGUGGGGACAGGCGAAGACAGGGUGAGAAGCACGGGGCAUUCCCCCUCCACACAGCGCUGAGAAAGUAAGGGAGCAUCCAGAAAACGGUGCCCACUUCCGCGUCAGGCGGAUAUCACGGGCACCAGCUCCAGGUGACCCUAGCCCAGCCAGAGAACAAGGACCAGGUUGUGCCGCAAAGCCCGUGUCCGCUCCCUCCCGCCUGGGACCACUGUGGCGAGGGGAAGGGAGCGUGGUGGCCCUCUCCUGACUCCUGAGGCCUGAAGUCCAAGCUCCCGGCCCUCAGGCAGGCCAGGGUCUAGACACCGCUGCCCCAAACACACCCCCCAGUCCCCGCCCGCAGGCUUCCUGCAGGAUCCCCCAGUGCACCUGGGGGCUGAGGAGAGUGAGCAGGGCGCAAAGAAGCUUCGUCGGGAGGGCGGUCCCCACCCGCCUUGGACCCCCGGGGAUAGUGUCCUGGGGCCUGGGCUCAGAUGCACCCUGGGAGGAAUGGUGCGGAGGCUGUUUUUUGCUCCAAGAGGACAUUGCCUCAGCAGAGGGCUGCCGAGCUGGGAGGACCCACAGUGCAAGGCCGCAGAACCCCCUAGGAAGCCUCAGAGCCUUCAGGUUCCGGGCUGAGGCUGUGGGCGUGGACCCUUGUGCAAACCCCACUGGAAGAAAAACCUUACAGCUCAGGAGGAGGAGGGGCCCCACCCGCUCCCAGAGCCCGUAAACGAGGGGUGGUGCCCACAUGAGGCCUGGGGAAGGGCUGGGGCUGGGACACCCCCUCACCACCCCCAGAUACCCCAGGCAGCCCCUCCCUCCACAGAGAGACCCACUGGGCCUGACCCUGCCCUGGGCACAGGGUCGAGCCAGGGACGGCCCGUGGGAGAAAGACGGCUUCAUGGGCCGCUGGCCGGGCCAGGUGCGUCCUUCCCCAGUUCUAGGUGGCAAAUGGGGUGGGGCCAGAGCCUUCUGGCUAGGGAAGACACUGGCCUGGUUGGUGUGGCAGGGGCAGCGAAGGAGGGUCAAAGGCCACUCUGGCCUGGAAGAGUCCCCAGCCACCUGGACGGGGGUAGCCAGGCCUGGUCCCUGCCCCCACUCUCCAAGGGGUCGGGGCAGCCGGGCAGAGCCAGUAAGUGUUUGUUUUCAGA
rnacentral:lncRNA from 1 species